CUAGGCAUCACCCGAUUCCUCUCACUUUUCCCGUAAUCGCUGCUUCUUUUUCUUCUCUCCCACUGUUUUGAUCGACCUUCCCACUGAGCUUCGAGAUCCAACUGGGUGCCCCUCCCGUGGACAACUUCCUUUGAGGGCGUCGUUAUCGGACACGGAGUUCUUCGACCACCUCACCGGCGGGACGAGAGUAGUUGGGCGAGAGCUCCCGGCGGUGGAUUGAGGAAGGAAAGGCAAGUCCACCUUUUAUGCUGGUAUGGCUUCCAUGACGUAAGGGAUAGGUAGCUAGGAGGGGGCAUUAAGCUUGCCUAUGAUGUCGAGAGAUUUUUACGAGGUGAGGGAGACCCCUCCUAGGAUAUCAUGGAGGGCUUGUACACGGAGUGACGAGGAGGUGAGAUGGUACCACGACACACUGUUUGAGGACCUUUAGGGUUGCUGUGAAGGCUCUUGUUCGCUUUUCUGUGAUCUUUCUUGAUAUGUAUGAGAAGGGGUUUGUUGGUGUUUCCAUUUUUUGUUCCUUUAGCUAAAAUGCCCUUAAGUCAUGACAUUUCAAUGUAAGUCGAAUAUGGUGGUUCUUAUCUAGUGAGAUUUCUAGUUUA